rnacentral:tRNA from 1 species
GGAGGGGUGGCUGAGUGGCCGAAAGCGCUGGUCUUGAAAACCAGAGUCGGGGCAACUCGACCGUGGGUUCGACUCCCACCCCCUCCGCCA